GAAGACGGUCAAGGUAUUGAAAAUGAUUUUACACUUGAAUUCGAGUAGGUGCAAAUAGAAGUAUUCAGCUGGCUCCCUGCAGCUAUUCCUCGUGUCCUUAGUACCCGUUUGUCUCAGCAGGGGUUUGGUUAAAAGAACACCUUGUUGGUCUACUAUACUGCUUAAUAUUAUAUAUAACUGAAAUGUGUGUAUUAAAGAAUCUUCUCUGCCAG
rnacentral:lncRNA from 1 species